rnacentral:lncRNA from 1 species
ACAGUGACGGGAACAGGUCCUCAAAAAGCACUCCCUUGCGGAGGCUUGGAAAGCAAGACUCUCUUCUCCCUCCGCCAGCCCUCCGCAUCUUGCUGACACCCCCCAUGCUUGAGAAGCCGAGUGCUCUAGGCGUCAAGAGCCUGGUCUCCAGGCUGCAGGCCACGGCUGGCUUGGAGCUGAGGACCCCACAGCCAGCAGGAGAGAUGAACAGCCCACCUCUGAGCGCCCAGGCCCUCAAGGAGAUGGCCCUGGGCACCAAGAGCAUCGCUCUCAUAGCAGCCAACCGGCGCUGCAAGGUGUAUGACAGGGAGGGCGGCUGCCUGGACUCCAGGGACCCCAGCCCUGCAGACUGGAGGUGGCCUCAUGCCAGCCCCAGCAGGGACCGCUCUCUGGAUAGGAAAGCAGGGAGGAAGCGGUCACCCUCAUUCACCUGGAGCCUGCAACAAUUGCAGGCGCUGGAGAAACAUCAGCCCUCUAUGGAACAUCCAUCCGAGAGCCAGCUGUCCCCAGCGCACCUCCAGCCACCGAAGCCAGCAGGGAGGAGCUUUUUCCCUGCCGUCCCUGUCCCUGUGGCCUCCAAGACGAAACCCAGCCUCAGUUUUCACACGGGUAUAGGAUCAGAGAAAGAGAAAUGAUAUUUCCCUUGUCUCAAGCCAUAAAGGCCGAAGUCUGUGAACAGU